rnacentral:rRNA from 1 species
UACGUAGGGGGCAAGCGUUGUUCGGAAUUACUGGGCGUAAAGGGCGCGUAGGCGGCACGACAAGUCGGGAGUGAAAGCCCGGGGCUCAACCCCGGAGGGUCUCUCGAAACUGUCGAGCUAGAGUGCGGAAGAGGCAAUCGGAAUUCCCAGUGUAGCGGUGAAAUGCGUAGAUAUUGGGAAGAACACCGGAGGCGAAGGCGGGUUGCUGAGCCGACACUGACGCUGAGGCGCGAAAGCCAGGGGAGCAAACGGG